UGCCAGCCCAUCCCUUCCUUCCUUUAAAGAAAAUCUGUGGAGCUGUGAGAUGCUUACCAGGAAGAACACAUACAACAGAGAAGCCUGAAUAAAAGACAGAUGAAUUUUCAUCCUUGCAGCCUCUUCCUUAAAAAGCUCUUAGACAAGAAUGUAGAAAAAUACAACUGGCUGUAAAGAGAUGACCAUGAAGCAUAUUGCUCCCAGGAAGAAGCAAGAGAUAUUCACAAUGACUCCAGCAAACAGUAAUUACACUGACUCUGUAGGCACAAUCUGGACUGCAAUUGUGCACGCUGCUGGUUGGUGACAGGACAAAUCACUGGGUGCUCUGCCUACUGGUGCAUGCUUCUAUUUUCAGUCCCUAGCAGUACAAUGAAGGUGGCACAGGUCUGUGCAGUCAGCCCUCGCUUUCAUUUGGUGUGGAUAAGAUCUUUAUUUCAUUCCUGCUGACUCUGCCUCAGUAUCGAUCACGUCACUCAUUUCAAUGGAGUGGGUUGUGAUUUAAGCUGAUAAAGGCAAAAUCAGCCUUUGUGGUGAUUACAGCUGAACACCAUUUACUUUCUGUGGGGGAAACCUGAAAUGAUGCAAGAAGGGAAACCAGCAACAUGAUAUAGACCCAGUUUGCACCUGGAAACCCUGAUUACCGUGCUCUGCAUUGCUCACAAUGGGACAAGGCUGCUGCGGACUCACCUGGGCUCCUUCUCAGCUUCUACAGCAGGAACAGUAGUAGCUAAAGAUCACCCUGAGUAUGGAAAUGGAAACCACAGAAGAUGUGCAAUGCCAGUGUUUUAGGCUAGUUGCUGAGCUUCAGAAUUUCCUUCAGCUGCUGUCAAAUUGCUAGUUCAAUGGGAACUUAAAUAUGUCAGUCUUACACAUGAUGAAGCAUGAGAAGUUCUCUCUAUCUAUGAAGUUCUAAAUGGUAGAAAAAGUAACUUCUCACUGCGAAACCUUCUUUCCUUUUCAGUUAUUUGAAGUGAGAUUCUUCUUUCUGAAUGAACUUUGGGUUAUGCCUUUAUGUCACCCUAAUGAAUCACAGAGCAAAGCCUCUUAUGGAGCAUGGGGGAAAAAAUGUACCACUGUAUCUGCACCUACAAGCUCUACUCCUAAUUGUUGCAACAGUUUAGGAACUUGCAGUACCCCAAAUCCGUUACAUUACAUGUUGAAGCAUUCUCCCCUGAAAUACCUGGCACUGCCAUUUCUUU